GAUGAAAGGAAACUGAUGCUAAUGAAAUUAUUGGCCUCAACCCAAUUGCUAUUACAAUCAUACAGCAAUACAAUGUUAGCCUGUUUCCAAUGUUACGGUUCUACGUAUAAAUUGAACUUCCAAUUAUUUGAGAUAAAUUACUAAAAAUUCUUGAAAUUUAUCAUAAUAUACUUAAAUUUUUACUGUUUUAAAAUUAAUAAUCUUACUCCCUGCACAUGCAUUAAAAAAGGUCAGGUCGCCUGUAUGGUAACUUUGCCGGAUAGCCAUCAGAUCACUACCAAUACCAACUAAUUUGAUCAAAUUGGUAAGGUACAAAAAACCAUCACUACCAUACUAAACCAAAAUCAAUCAUCCAAGAAGAGGACCAUGAAUCCUACGAGAUGUCAUACCUAGUGUAAUUAUUCAAAGACUGUACAAAAAGUUGAAAAAAUAUGCCCAUCGGAAGGCUUUGCCGGAUCAGACUUUGGUAGGAGAAAUUUUACAUAAAUGACAGGCAUAACCCAGAGCUUCUAUAUUUUGAUUACAAUUGAUAGAAGAAAGAGAUUUAUCAUCAAAAUUUCUCCCAGCCUAGACAAUGCCACUUCAGAGUACACGGUUUUCUCUUCUCAACCACACAACUAUAGGGAGAGAGAGAGAGAGAGAGA
rnacentral:misc_RNA from 1 species